rnacentral:ncRNA from 1 species
GAAACUCACCAGGUCCAGACACAAUGAGGAUUGACAGAUUGAGAGCUCUUUCUUGAUUUUGUGGGUGGUGGUGCAUGGCCGUUCUUAGUUGGUGGAGUGAUUUGUCUGCUUAAUUGCGAUAACGAACGAGACCUUAACCUGCUAAAUAGCCCGUAUUGCUUUGGCAGUACGCCGGCUUCUUAGAGGGACUAUCGGCUCAAGCCGAUGGGCGACAUCAUCAAAUUGCGGGAACACCCUAAAGCUGG